rnacentral:rRNA from 1 species
UACCGGCGGCUCGAGUGGUGGCCACUAUUACUGGGCUUAAAGCGUUCGUAGCUGGUCUGUUAAGUCUCUGGGGAAAUCUACUGGCUUAACCAAUAGGCGUUUCAGGGAUACUGGCAGACUAGGGACCGGGAGAGGUGAGGGGUACUCCAGGGGUAGGAGUGAAAUCCUGUAAUCCUUGGGGGACCACCUGUGGCGAAGGCGCCUCACCAGAACGGCUCCGACAGUGAGGGACGAAAGCUGGGGGAGCAAACCGG